AUCGCUUCUCGGCCUUUUGGCUAAGAUCAAGUGUAGUAUUUGUUCUUAUCAGUUUAAAAAUAAAAUUGUUUUCCAUAGAAGAAAUAAAAACAAAACAAAA
rnacentral:snRNA from 1 species